ACGAAGGUGGCGAGCGUUGUUCGGAAUCACUGGGCAUAAAGGGCGCGUAGGCGGUCCCUUAAGUCGGAUGUGAAAGCCCCCGGCCCAACCGGGGAACUGCGUCCGAUACUGAGGGACUUGAGGGUCGGAGAGGUGCAUGGAAUUCCUGGUGGAGCGGUGAAAUGCGUUGAUAUCAGGAGGAACACCGGAGGCGAAGGCGAUGCACUGGUCGAUCUCUGACGCUGAGGCGCGAAAGCCAGGGGAGCAAACGGGAUUAGAUACCCCGGUAGUCCUGGCCGUAAACGGUGGGCACUAGGUAGGAGGAAACCUAACUUCUUCCUGCUGCCGCAAAUGCAUUAAGUGCCCCGCCUGGGGAGUAUGGUCGCAAGGCUG
rnacentral:rRNA from 1 species